UAAUUUUUGAUAAAUAAAAACAAUUAAAAUAUUCCAAAUUUAGUAUCUGUUAGAAUUCUAAUCAUUCAGAAUAGAAAAAAUAACAGCAAAAUAAGCUCUACCUUUGUGAGGUCAAAUGUAGGUCCCAUGGGUAUUUUCUGAAAAUCUUGUUAUCGAGCGAUUAAAUUUGAAAACAACUAUGACCUAGUUAAGGAAUGUUUAUAAUCGGAUUUAUUAUAAGGGUCAAACAGCUAUCUAUUAAGCGUUUUUGGUUGUGAAAAUGUGUUUGUGAACUACAUUUUACUUCAUCUACCUGAGAAUAUUGUUAUUUUGUCUGUUCAAAGCAUACAAGUAAAAUAACAGCGUGACAUAAAAAUGUCUGGUUGGGUUUGGAUACGGCGUUCUCUUCAGCGAGCACGUCCCAUUGGGUAAUAUAUAGCGUGUUCGCUGAAGUUCUUUAGCUAGAUCAAAUCUUGCGGGGGACCCCACUAAUCAGCUAACAGCUGGUUGGAUUAAUCAACAUAAAGCUUUGUGUACGAAGAAUUUUGUUGGUGCUAAUUGGCCAACAGAGAUACAUCCUGACCCGGUUCGAGCAGAUGGAUCUCUAGGUUAAAAUAAAAGACGUCUAAAAUGGGAUUGCCCAUUAAAAAUCUUAAACAAAUCGGUCCACAAACAAUUAUUUGGCCAAAUGGAUCCCACGAUGAUCCCAUGCUACACCUGCUCGGGGGCUGUUGGUCAAUCAUCUCUGGUGUCUAGCCUUAAGGGUGACCAAAACUAAUCCAACAGUCAGGAUAUCUUAACACAGGAAUGCGGAAAGGAAUCUGGGGUUUCCACACAGACUGAAAAUUUAUGGGUGUGUCUACUUGAUAAGUUGGUGUCGGCAGUAAAGAAUGCUCAGAUGAAACAGAAAGUGAUCACCCAGGGUGAACAACUGACACGCCUAAGGAGAGAUAUUUCAUCUAAAGACAAUGAAAUAAAGCAGCUGAUGUCACAUUCAUGUAGAAAGCAGGCUUUUAAUAUUAUGCAAAUAUCAGAUUGGGAUUGCAUACUCUCCUCAACUUUGUAGUUCCUCCAAAUUAUUCAGUGCCUUAUGAAGCUUUACGUAGUGAUUUGAAAUCAUUACAACCGGAGAAUGGCAGUAUUCUUACUCUUUGUCAACUAAUGCAUGACUUUGGAAUUAAGGAAUGUCAGUAAGAUUUGGAUUAGGCCUACACUCAACAGAUGUUGCUUUUAACACAUGUAUUGAUAUUAUGUACAUUAAAUUGUGCCAGCUU